rnacentral:antisense_RNA from 1 species
GACGAGGCAAUUUAUUACUUACGCAUAGAACACUGGCUGUGCUGAAACUGGGAGCGCAAACAGCCCCUUGUUUUCUAAUUUAGAGACUUGCAUCUUUUCGACACUCAACAGUAUCAAGACACUCUGCUACUACAGAAUCUUCUGGAGAGGGAAAGAAGAAACCAUGUCUAGACAAGGUGCUGGAAAGACCCAGGGAAGACACAGGGAAAUCAUCUUUUGGGAAUUUAUCUAAGAAGAACUUCUUAUGAUAUAUGAAGUCUGGGGGUAAGACCUGCAGUAAUUUCCCUUAAGAUACUACAGAAUUUCCAAGGACUUGAGGAAUAAUUGCACUCUUGAAACAGCCUAUGAAAAAAGAAGAGACUUGGGAAAUUUAACAGAAGUUCACUUUCCACCACUGUGCAAACUAAGGAAAAACUUACAGCAGUAAAUAGCUGUGGUUGGCAAAGCUGUUUUGGCUCAGGAGCAGCUAUCAGGCCUUGAUAAGGUCGACAAGUCUGCUGUUCUAAAAUAAAAACAAAACAAACAAACAAAAA